rnacentral:tRNA from 1 species
UCUCUGAUCGUAUAGUGGCUAGUAUGCUCGCUUGUCAUUAGCACUGACCGCGGGAGACCGGAGUUCAAUUCUCCGUCAGAGAG